rnacentral:misc_RNA from 1 species
GAUGAAGAACGCAGCGAAAGUGCGAAACGUAAUGUGAAUUGCAGAAUUCAGUGAAUCAUCGAAUCUUUGAACGCAUCUUGCGCUCCUUGGUAUUCCGAGGAGCAUGCCUGUUUGAGUGUCGUGAAGUCUCUCGAGUCCGAGUCUCUUUUUGACUCGGGGUUUCGGAUUUGGACGUUUGCCGUCGUGAGACGGCUCGUCUCGAAAUGUAUCGGCCGUUCCCAUUUCCACAGACAACGGUGUGAUAAAUGAAACUCGCUCGCGUCUUGUGGUAACGGGGGACGGCUCACAGUCGUCCUUUUUGGACAAUACACACGUCAUCUGACCUCAAAUCAGGUAGGACUACCCGCUGAACUUAAGCAUAUCAAUAAGCGGAGGA